AGGAAUGUGGCUCAGUGGUAGAGUACUUGCCUUACAUGCAUGAGGCCCUGCAUUCAAUUCUU
rnacentral:tRNA from 1 species